GGCUUUGAGGAUUUUUCAUUGCCUCUGCAAUUAUUGAUGCUGCAUCUGUCUCCAAUUAAUGUACUUGCAUCCAAUUUUGUGAUGAUCUCACUUUUGGCUUCAAGGUUGCUUGUCCUAUCUAGACCACAUUCAGGCUGCACCAACUUUGCAUUCUUAUCAAAGUUAGAAAAACCAAGGGGCUUUUGAAGAUAAUUGCAUUCUGAAGAACUUCCAACUCUUCUUCUCUUAUUUGUUUC
rnacentral:misc_RNA from 1 species